rnacentral:lncRNA from 1 species
UGUUCUAUCGGUAGCGCUAGCGCGGCCUAGAAGUUGCCUUCGAUUUCAGCCAGAGGGCGCAUACGCCCAUUGCCCAAGCCAAGCCAAACCAUUGUCAAAAGUUAAGAAUCGGACUGACCCUAUCAAUCUUUUCCCUCCUUUCUAAGAAAUUCUAAAUCCUAAAAUCCUACCUAACCCUAAAAGCCCUAAAAACCAUAUAAGCCUAGGAACAAGUAUGUAAAAACUUUAAUUAUUUUCAGAAUGCCCCUAUUCCUUGAUACCUAUGAUAUUUAAAAUUUUUAACUAUCUUGUAAUAUCCUCACCACAUAAAGCUUUUUUUGUUCUCAAAAUACCCAUAUCCUAGAGCCUGUAUUAACGUGUCAAUAUAGAUCUCAAAAUACGUUUAAGAUAAAACCAUUUUAAAAAUAUCUCUAUCGAACAACUUUCUUUAUUCUCAAAAAACUCUUGUUAAGGGCCAUAUAAGUGUGCCAAUAUAGUUCUCAAGAUCUCUCUCUCAAAGAUAUUCUUAUAAUAAUUAAAUAUAUUUUUAUCCAAAAUAUACCUAUUAUGACUCCCGAUGAAGAGUAUCUUGAUCGGUUUGACUCUUAAUUCACUGCAAGGUGAAGUUGAAAUCU